CAGUCGCCGCGGUAAUACAGAGGGUGCGAGCGUUAAUCGGAUUUACUGGGCGUAAAGCGUGCGUAGGCGGCUUCUUAAGUCGGAUGUGAAAUCCCUGAGCUUAACUUAGGAAUUGCAUUAGAUACUGGGAAGCUAGAGUAUGGGAGAGGAUGGUAGAAUUCCAGGUGUAGCGGUGAAAUGCGUAGAGAUCUGGAGGAAUACCGAUGGCGAAGGCAGCCAUCUGGCCUAAUACUGACGCUGAGGUACGAAAGCAUGGGGAGCAAACAGGAUUAGAUACCCCUGUAGUCCCUGUCUCUUAUAC
rnacentral:rRNA from 1 species